CUCUCCAAUACUUAAGCAUCCAGCUCUCCUCUGCAAGGCUCAUGGAGUGUUUUGAUGGCUCCCAUACAUUGUAUCCCACCAGACUUUUUGAAGCCAUAUCCUGAGGGGUGACCUGAGGGCUGGAUUUGUGAGACAAGCUGCUCUGAAUCACCACCUCCAGCACAGAGUAUCAUAUGAGUGUGGUAGGGAUUGCUGCUGGUGUUUGACUCAUGGAUUCAUGCAUCACUCACCUCUUGAUGCUCCGCAGAGGUAGGAUUUUCCAAGAUAAUCCACUGCACCACACGCUGCAAGGGAUGGGUUUGCUGUUUGUGUGGGACACGGCAUCCUGAGGGCACUGAGUAAAAAGCCUGGAGAGAUGUAAAUGUUCUUUAUAUUAGAAAACUUAUGAGGGGCACCUGUAGGAUGGUCAUUUUUACUGCAGCAAGGAUGUCCUGAUGAACUGCUUUUCAUAUUUGGCUUCCAAAAAAAAUCUUUUAGUCGAUGUCAUGAGAAUUAUUCUCCAAUUUGUAUCAAACCCUCAAAAUGUAAAUAAUUUCCUACAUUCAGCCCCCCUCACUCUUUAAACUGGGUCUGGAAACUAAAUAGCAAAGCACCUUAUAGAUGUUUUCUCUUUUUGUACGAAUAUUCUGUUUGUAUGAAUGUUCUACCUUCUUUCUAAUCUUUUACACCUUUCCAUCAUCAUUCCAACUGCAGUGUUUCUACUGUGUGAUUUUCUCUAAGAAAGUGAAAUGAGUGUGUUCAGAUUGCCUCCAAAUCUGAACUCAGUGUCACAUGCUUUGUACGAUGCACUGAAAAACCAUGUCCAGUCUGCAUUGCAAGCUGUGAGUCCAUCCAUGACCACCAAAAUAUGGAAUAUGCUAAACUAGGGCCUCUGUAAUUAUUCAACAUGAAAUGAUUUCCUAAAUUUCCUGUGAACGGGCUGCAACUGAUUAUUUGCAAAGGUAUCCAUUGAAACAGGUUCUUACUAUGCAGAGAAAUGUCAAGCAACAAAUCCAUUCUAAGAUUUGUUGAGAUGCAUUUGAGCAUUUCCCAACAAGUGGAAAUGUAACACCUCUGCUAGUUUCCAGGUAGAAAGUAAUUCAUGUUGUAGUUAUUUUGGUGGUUGAUUCCUUUGUCAGUGAAUAUUUCACACCAGUAGUAUAUUUGAUGUGAUUUUAGAGUGCUCUGAGAUAAAUAGGCCUGCAUGCCUUUCUUACAAGGAUCAUAAAGAACUGUACAAAUCCUGACUGCAUCUUACAUUUCCCUUUCCACCAAGGAGGUUUGUAUAAGCAGCUGGUUCACAUUUACAAUCACAGAAUAGAAUCAGAGAAUGGUUUGGGUUGGAAGGGACCUUAAGAUCAUGUAGUUCCAACCCCCUGCUAUAGGCAGGGACACCUCCCUCUAGACCAGCUUGCUCACAGCCCCAUCCAGCCUGGCCUUGAACAAAUACUUCCAGGCAGGGAUCACUCACAGCCUCCCUGGGCAACCAGUUCUGGGGGCAUCAAGAUCAAUCCAGACCUUCAAUAUCCUCACCUACUGUGUUCUCUCUUAAUGUCAUUCAGUGCUUCAGGCUUUCUUUACAUACACAGUGAGAAGGAAACAUUUUGAUGUGUCCCACAGUUGCUUAGAAAGAAGAAUGUCCACAGUCUGUGGAAAUGACUGAUAAGAAUUAUUUUGAGAGAGGUUUCAAUGUGAGCUGGGUCUCUGAUCUUACGGAGAUGUCAACCCUUAUACCAGUUGAAAGCUCAGGGUAGAGAAGUUUGCAAACAUCUGAUUGUUUGUGACCAAACUGGAGCCUGAGGUCUUAAAAAUAUCAUGAGAAUUCAAAAUACAGUAGCAAGAGGAAGAAAACACAAAUGGAGGGAAAUACAACUGGGACUUUUAUCUGUGGGGUUUUGGCAUGGUCACUGCAGGGGCCAGGCUGCUGUCCAUGCUCCAGCCGCCUCCCCACCAUGUUACAGAGGUCUUUGCUCUCUAGCAGCUGUCAUCAGUACCAUAUUAAUAUUUCAUAAAUAAACAGUCUCUGCAAACCA